AGUGAACGCUGGCGGUAGGCCUAACACAUGCAAGUCGAACGGCAGCACAGUAAGAGCUUGCUCUUACGGGUGGCGAGUGGCGGACGGGUGAGGAAUACAUCGGAAUCUACUUUUUCGUGGGGGAUAACGUAGGGAAAAUUACGCUAAUACCGCAUACGACCUACGGGUGAAAGCAGGGGAUCUUCGGACCUUGCGCGAUUGAAUGAGGCGAUGUCGGAUUAGCUAGUUGGCGGGGUAAAGGCCCACCAAGGCGACGAUCCGUAGCUGGUCUGAGAGGAUGAUCAGCCACACUGGAACUGAGACACGGUCCAGACUCCUACGGGAGGCAGCAGUGGGGAAUAUUGGACAAUGGGCGCAAGCCUGAUCCAGCCAUACCGCGUGGGUGAAGAGGGCCUUCGGGUUGUAAAGCCCUUUUGUUGGGAAAGAAAAGCAGCAGGUUAAUACCCCGCUGUUCUGACGGUACCCAAAGAAUAAGCACCGGCUAACUUCGUG
rnacentral:rRNA from 1 species